rnacentral:rRNA from 1 species
UGGGGAAUUUUUGGCAAUGGGGGCAACCCUGACCAAGCAACGCCGCGUGGGUGAUGAAGUCUCUUGGGACGUAAAACCCUUUCGACGGGGAAGAAACCGCAAGGUUGACGGUACCCGUAGAAGAAGCCCCGGCUAACUCCGUGCCAGCAGCCGCGGUAAUACGGGGGGGGCAAGCGUUGUUCGGAAUUACUGGGCGUAAAGGGUGCGUAGGCGGUCUGUUAAGUUGGAUGUGAAAACUCUGGGCUCAACCCAGAGCCUGCAUCCAAAACUGGCAGGCUAGAGUUCUGGAGGGGGUAGCGGAAUUCCUGGUGUAGCGGUGAAACGCGUAGAUAUCAGGAGGAACACCGGUGGCGAAGGCGGCUACCUGGACAGAAACUGACGCUGAGGCACGAAAGCUAGGGGAGCAAACAGGAUUAGAUACCCUGGUAGUCCUAGCCCUAAACGAUGGAUACUUGCUGUGACUGGGAUUGAAUCCAGUCGUGGCGAAGCUAACGCAUUAAGUAUCCCGCCUGGGGAGUACGGUCGCAAGGCUGA